rnacentral:rRNA from 1 species
AACGGGGAUAUUCAACGCGUCCGGUUUGGCGGACGAGCCGGGUCGGCUCUCGACGGGCGUCCGUUCGCGGGCGCUCGCGGACGACCAGGCCGUCUCGUCACCGGCGCGUGCACUUAUCCCCUUGUAGGACGUCGCGAUCCGUCGGGCGUCGGUCUACGGUCGGCGGUGGAGCCCGUGCGCGCCUCGGCGCGCGCGAACCCGUCGAUUCUCCGGCCGACUCGCUCGACGGUAUCUCUCGAGGCGCGGAGCCGCGACUAGUUCGCAUCCGACUGUCCGCAAGCGCGGCCGGUCUCCCGGCUGUCGGAUCUGAUGCCGGCACCGGGACCGGACGGCUGCUGGCGGGCAAGUUCUCGGAUAGACUCCGAUCCACGCCUAUCGGCGACGCUAUAGCUUUGGGUAAUCUCAGGACCCGUCUUGAAACACGGACCAAGGAGUCUAGCAUGUGCGCGAGUCAUUGGGACUUUAAAACCUACUGGCGAAAUGAAAGUGAAGGCCGCCUUGCGCGCGCCUAGGGAGGAUGGGUCGCACCGCGGUGCGGCCCCGCACUCCUGGGGCGUCUCGUGCCCAUUGCGGGCUGAGGCGCACCGAGAGCGCAAAUGCUGGGACCCGAAAGAUGGUGAACUAUGCCUGGUCAGAACGAAGUCAGGGGAAACCCUGAUGGAGGUUCGUAGCGAUUCUGACGUGCAAAUCGAUCGUCGGAACUGGGUAUAGGGGCGAAAGACUAAUCGAACCAUCUAGUAGCUGGUUCCCUCCGAAGUUUCCCUCAGGAUAGCUGGCGCUCGUUUUACGAGUCUCAUUCGGUAAAGCGAAUGAUUAGAGGCAUUGGGGUCGAAACGGCCUCAACCUAUUCUCAAACUUUAAAUGGGUGAGAUCUCCGGCUUGCUUAGAUGUGAAGCCGCGAGAAUUCUU